AUUGAACGCUGGCGGAAUGCUUUACACAUGCAAGUCGAACGGUAGAGGGGGCAACCCCUCGAGAGUGGCGAACGGGUGAGUAAUAUAUCGGAACGUGCCCAGUCGUGGGGGAUAACGUAGCGAAAGUUACGCUAAUACCGCAUACGAUCUACGGAUGAAAGCGGGGGAUCGCAAGACCUCGCGCGAUUGGAGCGGCCGAUAUCAGAUUAGGUAGUUGGUGGGGUAAAGGCUCACCAAGCCAACGAUCUGUAGCCGGUCUGAGAGGACGACCAGCCACACUGGAAAUGAGACACGGUCCAGACUCCUACGGGAGGCAGCAGUGGGGAAUUUUGGGCAAUGGACGCAAGUCUGAUCCAGCCAUUCCGCGUGCAGGAUGAAGGCCCUCGGGUUGUAAACUGCUUUUGUACGGAACGAAAAGGUUUCCAUUAAUACUGGGAGCUCAUGACGGUACCGUAAGAAUAAGCACCGGCUAACUACGUGCCAGCCGCCGCCGUAA
rnacentral:rRNA from 1 species